rnacentral:tRNA from 1 species
CGAGGGGCCUAAAAGACCUGCUAAUUCUUUAAUUAUGGAACUAACAUCCAACCCCC